rnacentral:lncRNA from 1 species
UUUUGGUUUCAUCAAGAUCAAGACCAAAUAGUGUUGGAAGUGAGGGGAAGGUGAUUGUAGGUGUUUCUGGAUAAGAUAUUACUGGUUCAGGUUCAAAGUUGAAUAUGCCUUCGGGAGUAACCUCAGAAAUAUGGUCUCCAGAAUCUCUCGAAGGAUAUGUCAUGGGGGUUGUUCUAUUUGUAUUUUCUGUGUAAGGAGUAGAAACAAAUGGUGGUGGAGUGGGUGAAGUUUG